rnacentral:rRNA from 1 species
UACGUAGGGGGCAAGCGUUGUCCGGAUUUAUUGGGCGUAAAGAGCGUGUAGGCGGUUAUACAGGUCCGCUGUGAAAACUGGAGGCUUAACCUCCAGACGUCGGUGGAAACCGUAUAACUAGAGUCCGGAAGAGGAGAGUGGAAUUCCUGGUGUAGCGGUGAAAUGCGCAGAUAUCAGGAAGAACACCCGUGGCGAAAGCGGCUCUCUGGGACGGUACUGACGCUGAGACGCGAAAGCGUGGGGAGCGAACAGG